CCUACGGGGGGCUGCAGUGAGGAAUAUUGGUCAAUGGACGAGAGUCUGAACCAGCCAAGUAGCGUGAAGGAUGACUGCCCUAUGGGUUGUAAACUUCUUUUAUAUGGGAAUAAAAUGUUCCACGUGUGGGAUUUUGUAUGUACCAUAUGAAUAAGGAUCGGCUAACUCCGUGCCAGCAGCCGCGGUAAUACGGAGGAUCCGAGCGUUCUCCGGAUUUAUUGGGUUUAAAGGGAGCGUAGGUGGAUUGUUAAGUCAGUUGUGAAAGUUUGCGGCUAAACCGUAAAAUUGCAGUUGAAACUGGCAGUCUUGAGUACAGUAGAGGUGGGCGGAAUUCGUGGUGUAGCGGUGAAAUGCUUAGAUAUCACGAAGAACUCCGAUUGCGAAGGCAGUUCACUGGACUGCAACUGACACUGAGGCUCGAAAGUGUGGGUAUCAAACAGGAUUAGAUACCCUUGUAGUC
rnacentral:rRNA from 1 species